rnacentral:misc_RNA from 1 species
GAUGAAGAACGUAGCGAAAUGCGAUAAGUAAUGUGAAUUGCAGAAUUCAGUGAAUCAUCGAAUCUUUGAACGCACAUUGCGCCCGCCAGUAUUCUGGCGGGCAUGCCUGUUCGAGCGUCAUUACAACCCUCAGGCCCCCGGGCCUGGCGUUGGGGAUCGGCAGAAGCCCCCUGUGGGCACACGCCGUCCCUCAAAUACAGUGGCGGUCCCGCCGCAGCUUCCAUCGCGUAGUAGCUAACACCUCGCAACUGGAGAGCGGCGCGGCCAUGCCGUAAAACACCCAACUUCUGAAUGUUGACCUCGAAUCAGGUAGGAAUACCCGCUGAACUUAAGCAUAUCAAUAAGCGGAGGA